rnacentral:rRNA from 1 species
AUUGAACGCUGGCGGCAUGCCUUACACAUGCAAGUCGAACGGUAACGGGCCUUCGGGUGCCGACGAGUGGCGAACGGGUGAGUAAUGUAUCGGAACGUACCUUUCAGUGGGGGAUAACGUAGCGAAAGUUACGCUAAUACCGCAUAUUCUGUGAGCAGGAAAGCAGGGGAGCGCAAGACCUUGCGCUGAUUGAGCGGCCGAUAUCAGAUUAGCUAGUUGGGGAGGUAAAGGCUCACCAAGGCGACGAUCUGUAGCGGGUCUGAGAGGCUGAUCCGCCACACUGGAACUGAGACACGGUCCAGACUCCUACGGGAGGCAGCAGUGGGGAAUUUUGGACAAUGGGGGCAACCCUGAUCCAGCCAUGCCGCGUGAGUGAAGAAGGCCUUCGGGUUGUAAAGCUCUUUCGGCCGGGAAGAAAUCGUAUCAGCUAAUACCUGGUGCGGAUGACGGUACCGGCAUAAGAAGCACCGGCCAACUACGUGCCAGCAGCCGCCGUAACAC